AGGACUUUGGGGGCUACUUUUGCUCCUACUUUUAGUAGUGCUAUUGCUCCUCCUACCUCAUUUUAACAGAAGAAGAAACAAAGAGAAGUAAAAUGAUUUGCUUCUGGCUGCACAGUCAGUGUACCUCACCCUGCCUUUCAGUUUCAUCAUAAAGCAAGAUCUAAAGGAAUCAGGAUCCCAGCUCCCUUCUCCUUCUUAAUGGAAAAAGCCAGCCCUCAGAAAGGCGCAGCUCUCCUGGCUCCUCAAACAACAUGAAGAUUUUUUGUCAUUUCGCGAUGUAAGCCCCAAGCCCUGAUCAUGCAUGAUUUACUGGACAAGGAAUUGCAACUCAGCCCAGCGCAUCUUCAUUGGAU